AGCAAUUUACAUUUAAUGUAAUGUACUCAUAUAGAAGACUUAUGACGACCAGGGGAGUGACUUUGGUGAGGUAUGACUAUCGAAAGCCAUGACACCUACCAAGAGUGAAUGCAAAUGGAUGCCUUACUCUCAGUCCCAACUAUCUACAGAUCUGAAAACAUGCAAUUUAAAAAAGUGAGUAUAAACUCAAUGAGUGAACAUAAGAAGGGAACAAGUAACGAUAAGGAAUGUUUUAGAAAACAUGAUGCACUUACGAUAAAACCAUGCAAUUUAGUAUAAGUUUUUGUUAAAACCCCUCAUUCCAAACUUUGAAUGUUUAAUCCUUCAAUGUUGCAAGACAUUAUUUUUGGGUCAUUAGAAAGAUAAGAGGAUAGGCUACAACUUUUGUGUUUAUUACUUUGCCCAAGUCUGAUCGGAAGGUGAUCAAAAUCUUUGUCAAAGUGAAAGCACUGCAUUAGAAUCUUGGAACCACCAGAGAGUUUCUCGCUGCAGUGAGAACCAGGCCAGUGUAAC
rnacentral:lncRNA from 1 species